GGAGGGUKCAAGCGUUGUCCGGAUUUAUUGGGUUUAAAGGGUGCGUAGGCGGCCCGGUAAGUCAGUGGUGAAAGCCUCCAGCUCAACUGGAGAACUGCCAUUGAUACUGCCGGGCUUGAGUACAGACGAGGUUGGCGGAAUUGAUUGUGUAGCGGUGAAAUGCAUAGAUACAAUCAAGAACUCCGAUUGCGUAGGCAGCUAACUAGGCUGUAACUGACGCUGAGGCACGAAAGCGUGGGGAGCGAACAGGAUUAGAUACCCUGGUAGUCCACGCUGUAAACGAUGAUUACUCGAUGUUGGCGAUAAACUGUCAGCGUCUUAGCGAAAGCGUUAAGUAAUCCACCUGGGGAGUACGCCCGCAAAGGUG
rnacentral:rRNA from 1 species